GGGAGCUCUCCCAUAUGGUCGACCUGCAGGCGGCCGCGAAUUCACUAGUGAUUCGUAUUACCGCGGCUGCUGGCACGAAGUUAGCCGGGACUUAUUCUCCGGGUACCGUCAUUAUCGUCCCCGGCAAAAGAGCUUUACAACCCUAAGGCCUUCAUCACUCACGCGGCAUGGCUGGAUCAGGCUUGCGCCCAUUGUCCAAUAUUCCCCACUGCUGCCUCCCGUAGGAGUCUGGGCCGUGUCUCAGUCCCAGUGUGGCUGGUCGUUCUCUCAAACCAGCUAAGGAUCGUCGCCUUGGUGAGCCAUUACCUCACCAACUAGCUAAUCCUACGCGGGCCCAUCCUAUAGCGAAAUUCUUUCCCCUUUCGGGCGUAUACGGUAUUACUCCAAGUUUCCCUGGGCUAUUCCGUACUAUAGGGAAGGUUCCCACGUGUUACUCACCCGUCUGCCACUCCCCUUGCGGGGCGUUCGACUUGCAUGUGUUAAGCCUGCCGCCAGCGUUCGUUCUGAGCCAUGAUCAAACUCUAAUCGAAUUCCCGCGGCCGCCAUGGCGGCCGCAAGCAUGCGAC
rnacentral:rRNA from 1 species